ensembl:lncRNA
GCUGUAGGGACAAUAAUUGAAGGAGGAUAUAGUAACAGCAUGUAACUGGACAAUGGCGCAAAUGAGGGAUUUUGAGGACCUGAGCCCUAGGACCAUGCCCCAGGACUACCUGACAUGAUGACUCCUUGCUGUCCCCAGUCCACCUGGCCGUGCUGCUGCUCCAGUUUCAACUGUUCUGACUUAUUAUUAUUCGACCAUGCUGGUCAUUUAUGAACAUUUGAACAUCUUGGCCAUGUUCUGUUAUAAUCUCCACCCGGCACAGCCAGAAGAGGACUGGCCACCCCACAUAGCCUGGUUCCUCUCUAGGUUUCUUCCUAGGUUUUGGCCUUUCUAGGGAGUUUUUCCUAGCCACCGUGCUUCUACACCUGCAUUGCUUGCUGUUUGGGGUUUUAGGCUGGGUUUUUGUACAGCACUUUGAGAUAUCAGCUGAUGUACGAAGGGCUAUAUAAAUAAAUUUGAUUUGAUUUCCCCCCCCUCAUCAAUCUACACCUAAUACCCCAUAAUGACAAAGUGUCAU